rnacentral:rRNA from 1 species
GAUGAACGCUGACAGAAUGCUUAACACAUGCAAGUCAACUUGAAUUUGGGUUUUUAACUUAGGUUUGGGUGGCGGACGGGUGAGUAACGCGUAAAGAACUUGCCUCACAGCUAGGGACAACAUUUGGAAACGAAUGCUAAUACCUAAUAUUAUGAUAAUAGGGCAUCCUAUAAUUAUGAAAGCUAUAAGCGCUGUGAGAGAGCUUUGCGUCCCAUUAGCUAGUUGGAGAGGUAACGGAUCACCAAGGCGAUGAUGGGUAGCCGGCCUGAGAGGGUGAUCGGCCACAAGGGGACUGAGACACGGCCCUUACUCCUACGGGAGGCAGCAGUGGGGAAUAUUGGACAAUGGACCGAGAGUCUGAUCCAGCAAUUCUGUGUGCACGAUGAAGUUUUUCGGAAUGUAAAGUGCUUUCAGUUGGGAAGAAACAAAUGACGGUACCAACAGAAGAAGUGACGGCUAAAUACGUG